ensembl:lncRNA
AUUCAGCUGUUUGAGUCAACCAUAUUGUAAACAUUAUGCACAUGUGAAUGUAAAUGAGAGUAAUAUUGACAUUGAUUUAUGAUGAUAUUACAUGCACAUGACAUCUUAUAUGGAGCACAUGAAUUGAAACAGAAUCGUACGGACUGAUGCUUAUAUUAAUCUAUUGCUCAACAGGUAUGAACAACAAAGAAAGACAAUUUCAAUCCAUCAUACCCGGCUAAAGUUACAGGGAAUGGAAUUCAUUUUUUUUCUGACGUCCCCUGUCAGUGAAAUAUCUCGUCUGACAGCAUGACAGAUUGCUAUAACUUUAACAAUGAAAGAGGUUUCUGCACAGUGUGUACCACAGAGCAAGAGGUGCUGGGAACUGCAAGAUGAACUUGAAAAGUUUGUGGUAAUGACUCCACACUCCAUAAAAAGUUCAUGACAGUUCAUGAGCCUGAUGAAGCAGUGAGUGAACCCGGUUGUUCUGGCCAGUGUUGGUAAAAGACUGCAGAUUAUAGACACUACUCACAAAAAGUUAGGGAUAUUUGGCUUUCGGAUGAAAUUUCAGAAUGUACAUAAAAUGCACUAUAACCUUUCCAGGUGAUCUUAAUUUGACCUUCUACUUAAAUGCCCUACUUUCAUGAUAUAAUAUCACUGUAGCAUCAACUUUUUACAUUUUCCAUAAAUUUCACCCGAAAGUGGAAUAUCCCUAACUUUUUGUGAGUAGUGUACUUUUAUGGAGCGUGCAUUCACCAUUGGUAAAAGCACUUUUUUUUCUUUCUGAGAUUCCCAAAACACGUUAUUAAGAUGAGCAAAGAAUCACCCAGAGAGUGUGUACACCACCCCAAACCCAAUGAGAGUGUUCCUGUAAGUAAAUGUUGUCAAAGGCAGACUAUUAGCUAUGGUACGUUACAAAAUAAUGUGGGUUAGUUUGGCAGCACUGUAAAGACAUACACUGGAUGCUCUUCUGUUGUAUUUCUGACAAAAUACUGUAGCUGCACUCAGAGUGCUUGCUGUUACCAUGGUAACCAGAGGUGUCGCCAAAUGAACCAGGCUUAAAUCUUAAAGUCCCUCCAAGGAACUUUGAUUUUUUUGUUGAUUAUGGUGGCCCCUGUGGACAAAAGCGAUGAUGUUUAAUUGAUUUCAAGGGGGAAUCUGACCGAAUCCAACCAAGUAAGCAUUAAGAAUAACUAUAGAAACUGAUGGUCUUAUGUAGGUCAUAUAAAGGCAUCAGUAUUGCAUUGAGACUGUUUAAUAACUAGUUUAAAACUCCUUGUAGUACGUUUAAUGACUAUAACUUUAACAUGGCAAAAUCAGACAUUAUGCCAAACACAAGAUGAUUAUUGGCCUGGUUUACUUUUCCCCUUGACCCAAAGAUAGUGAUAUUGAUGUGUCUGAGCUGUUUUGGGGUCUUUUAGGGCAGUUUUUGCUGGCAAAUGUCCAACUUUUUGGGUCACUGCUUUUGGUCCCUUCAAAGCAUAUAGUGUUUGUUUACUCCUACAUAAGUGACAGAUUUCACCCAGUGCUGUAGAAUACAGGACAAAUCACUGCAGAAAUCCAUGUAGUGUCAUUUUGUUCUGAGGCUCUUUUCAGAGUCUGGACUCCAGUUCCAGGGAAGGGAAAUCUUUAUGUUACAGCAUUCAGUAAUAUUUUAGACAAUAAUGUACUUCCAACUUUGUGGCAGCUU